rnacentral:rRNA from 1 species
UGAACGCUGGCGGUAUGCUUUACACAUGCAAGUCGUACGAGAGUUUUUAACUCAAGUGGCGGACGGGUGAGUAACACGUAAGAAUUUGCCUUUAGGAGGGGGAUAACAAUCGGAAACGAAUGCUAAUACCCCAUAUGCUUUCGAGUGAAACGGAUUUAUCCGCCUAAAGAGAAGCUCGCGGCUGAUUAGCUUGUUGGUAAGGUAAGAGCUUACCAAGGCGACGAUCAGUAUCUGGUUUGAGAGGACGAUCAGACACACUGGAACUGAGACACGGUCCAGACUCCUACGGGAGGCAGCAGUGGGGAAUAUUGGGCAAUGGAGGAAACUCUGACCCAGCGACGCCGCGUGCGGGAUGAA